CGAAGCCAGACGGCACCCCGGUUGAGAAAGGCUGGUUUAUGAUAUGCAGAUGCCGGUUUGUUAAUGAGGAAGCAGACUCUUCCAAACAAAGGAAAUUUAGACUGGACUUUCGUUCCUCCUCCUCCUGCAGACGCUUUGCCACCCGAAGGUCUUGCUGUACAAGUCG